rnacentral:rRNA from 1 species
AUUGAACGCUGGCGGCAUGCUUUACACAUGCAAGUCGAACGGUAACAGGCCGCAAGGUGCUGACGAGUGGCGAACGGGUGAGUAAUGCAUCGGAACGUGCCCAGUCGUGGGGGAUAACUACUCGAAAGAGUAGCUAAUACCGCAUACGAUCUAUGGAUGAAAGCGGGGGACCGUAAGGCCUCGCGCGAUUGGAGCGGCCGAUGUCAGAUUAGGUAGUUGGUGGGGUAAAGGCUCACCAAGCCAACGAUCUGUAGCUGGUCUGAGAGGACGACCAGCCACGCUGGGACUGAGACACGGCCCAGACUCCUACGGGAGGCAGCAGUGGGGAAUUUUGGACAAUGGGCGCAAGCCUGAUCCAGCAAUGCCGCGUGCAGGAAGAAGGCCUUCGGGUUGUAAACUGCUUUUGUACGGAACGAAACGGCUCUGGUUAAUACCCGGGGCUAAUGACGGUACCGUAAGAAUAAGCACCGGCUAACUACGU